CAAGGUGAAACCUAAUUGGCCUGGAGAAGAGCUUGCGUCUGAUUAGCUAGUUGGUGGGGUAAGAGCCUACCAAGGCGACGAUCAGUAGCUGGUCUGAGAGGAUGAGCAGCCACACUGGGACUGAGACACGGCCCAGACUCCUACGGGAGGCAGCAGUGGGGAACUUUCCGCAAUGGGCGAAAGCCUGACGGAGCAACGCCGCGUGAGGGAGGAAGGUCUUUGGAUUGUAAACCUCUUUUCUCAAGGAAGAAGUUCUGACGGUACUUGAGGAAUCAGCCUCGGCUAACUCCGUGCCAGCAGCCGCGGUAAUACGGGGGAGGCAAGCGUUAUCCGGAAUUAUUGGGCGUAAAGCGUCCGCAGGUGGUCAGCCAAGUCUGCU
rnacentral:rRNA from 1 species